GAUGAACGCUAGCUACAGGCUUAACACAUGCAAGUCGAGGGGUAACGAGAGGAAAGCUUGCUUUCCUUGUCGACGACCGGCGCACGGGUGAGUAACGCGUAUCCAACCUGCCCCCAACUAGGGAAUAACCUUGCGAAAGUAAGACUAAUACCCUAUAAUUUCCUCAGAUGUCAUCUGACGAGGAAUAAAGAUUUAUCGGUUGCGGAUGGGGAUGCGUCUGAUUAGCUUGUUGGCGGGGUAACGGCCCACCAAGGCAACGAUCAGUAGGGGUUCUGAGAGGAAGGUCCCCCACAGUGGAACUGAGACACGGUCCAAACUCCUACGGGAGGCAGCAGUGAGGAAUAUUGGUCAAUGGGCGGAAGCCUGAACCAGCCAAGUAGCGUGCAGGAUGACGGCCCUAUGGGUUGUAAACUGCUUUUAUACAGGAAUAAAGUUAGCCACGUGUGGUUAUUUGUAGGUACUGUAUGAAUAAGGACCGGCUAAUUCCGUGCCAGCAGCCGCCGUAA
rnacentral:rRNA from 1 species